rnacentral:rRNA from 1 species
UUUUAACGGCCGCGGUAUUCUAACCGUGCAAAGGUAGCGUAAUCACUUGUCUCCUAAAUAGAGACUAGUAUGAACGGCUAAAUGAGGACAAACCUGUCUCUUGCACCCUAUCAGUGAAACUGAUCUCCCCGUCCAAAAGCUGGGAUACCAACAUAAGACGAGAAGACCCUGUGGAGCUUAAAACACACUACUAACAAGCCGGCACGGCACAAUUAGUACAACUUUUAAGUUGGGGCGACUUCGGAACAAAACAGAACUUCCGAGCACAGAACCACCAAUUCUAACCAAGGCCAACAAGCCCAGGCAAAAACUGACCCAGUAAUACUGAUCAACGAACCAAGUUACCCCAGGGAUAACAGCGCUAUCUUCUUCAAGAGUCCAUAUCGACAAGAAGGUUUACGACCUCGAUGUUGGAUCAGGACACCCAAAUGGUGCAGCCGCUAUUAAAGGUUCGUUUGUUCAACGAUUAACAGUCCU